rnacentral:rRNA from 1 species
GACGAACGCUGGCGGCGUGCUUAACACAUGCAAGUCGAACGGAAAGGCCCUGCUUUUGUGGGGUGCUCGAGUGGCGAACGGGUGAGUAACACGUGAGUAACCUGCCCUUGACUUUGGGAUAACUUCAGGAAACUGGGGCUAAUACCGGAUAGGAGCUCCUGCUGCAUGGUGGGGGUUGGAAAGUUUCGGCGGUUGGGGAUGGACUCGCGGCUUAUCAGCUUGUUGGUGGGGUAGUGGCUUACCAAGGCUUUGACGGGUAGCCGGCCUGGGAGGGUGAACGGCCACAUUGGGACUGAGAGACGGCCCAGACUCCUACGGGAGGCAGCAGUGGGGAAUAUUGCACAAUGGGGGGAAGCCUGAUGCAGCAACGCCGCGUGCGUGAUGACGGCCUUCGGGUUGUAAACCGCUUUCGCCUGUGACGAAGCGUGAGUGACGGUAAUGGGUAAAGAAGCACCGGCUAACUACGUG